rnacentral:rRNA from 1 species
CCGAAUGGGGAAACCCACUGCUUCGGCAGUAUCCUGCAGUGAAUUCAUAGCUGCUGGAAGCGAACCCGGUGAACUGAAAUAUCUAAGUAACCGGAGGAAAAGAAAUCAACCGAGAUUCCCUAAGUAGUGACGAGCGAACGGGGAGCAGCCCUUAAGCUGGAAUGGCUUUAGAAAAACAAUCUGGAAAGAUUGGCCAUAGAAGGUGAUAGCCCUGUAUUUAAAAGGGCCACUCCAGUGAAGACGAGUAGGGCGGGGCACGUGAAACCCUGUCUGAAUAUGGGGGGACCAUCCUCCAAGGCUAAAUACUCCUGACCGACCGAUAGUGAACCAGUACCGUGAGGGAAAGGCGAAAAGAACCCCGGAGAGGGGAGUGAAAUAGAUCCUGAAACCGUGUGCGUACAAGCAGUAGGAGCUCGCAAGAGUGACUGCGUACCUUUUGUAUAAUGGGUCAGCGACUUACUGUUCGUGGCAAGCUUAACCGUAUAGGGGAGGCGAAGGGAAACCGAGUCUGAUAAGGGCGCAUAGUCGCGGGCAGUAGACCCGAAACCGGGUGAUCUAGUCAUGGCCAGGGUGAAGGUGCCGUAACAGGUACUGGAGGCCCGAACCCACGUCUGUUGCAAAAGACGGGGAUGAGCUGUGAUUAGGAGUGAAAAGCUAAUCGAACCCGGAGAUAGCUGGUUCUCCUCGAAAGCUAUUUAGGUAGCGCCUCAUAUGUAUCCUCUCGGGGGUAGAGCACUGUUAUGGCUAGGGGGUCAUCGCGACUUACCAAACCAUUGCAAACUCCGAAUACCGAGACGGACUGUAUGGGAGACACACGGCGGGUGCUAACGUCCGUCGUGAAAAGGGAAACAACCCAGACCCACAGCUAAGGUCCCAAAUUCACUGCUAAGUGGAAAACGAUGUGGAAAGGCGUAGACAGCCAGGAGGUUGGCUUAGAAGCAGCCACCCUUUAAAGAAAGCGUAAUAGCUCACUGGUCGAGUCGGUCUGCGCGGAAGAUUUAACGGGGCUAAGCAGUGAACCGAAGCUUGGGGUGCAUAAAACUUGUUUUAUGCGCGGUAGAGGAGCGUUCCGUAAGCCUGCGAAGGUGGAUUGAGAAGUCUGCUGGAGGUAUCGGAAGUGCGAAUGCUGACAUGAGUAACGAUAAUGCGGGUGAAAAGCCCGCACGCCGAAAGCCCAAGGUUUCCUUGCGCAACGUUAAUCGACGCAGGGUUAGUCGGUCCCUAAGGCGAGGGCGAAAGCCGUAGUCGAUGGGAAGCAGGUUAAUAUUCCUGCACCUCGCGUGAGUGCGAUGGAGGGACGGAGAAGGUUAGGUGUACCGGGCGUUGGUUGUCCCGGGGAAAGGCGGUAGGUUUGGAUCUUUGGCAAAUCCGGGAUCCUUUAAGACCGAGCACCGAGACGAGCCUUUAUGGCGAAGUCACUGAUACCACGCUUCCAGGAAAAGCUCCUAAGCUUCAGCUCACGAAGACCGUACCGUAAACCGACACAGGUGGGUAGGAUGAGAAUUCUCAGGCGCUUGAGAGAACUCGGGUGAAGGAACUAGGCAACAUGGCACCGUAACUUCGGGAGAAGGUGCACCCUUUUUGGUGGCUCGUGCGAGCUAUAGCUGAAGAGGGUCGCAGAAACCAGGCCGCUGCGACUGUUUAUCAAAAACACAGCACUCUGCAAACACGAAAGUGGACGUAUAGGGUGUGACGCCUGCCCGGUGCUGGAAGGUUAAUUGAUGGGGUCAGCCGCAAGGCGAAGCUCUUGAUCGAAGCCCCAGUAAACGGCGGCCGUAACUAUAACGGUCCUAAGGUAGCGAAAUUCCUUGUCGGGUAAGUUCCGACCUGCACGAAUGGCGUAACGACAGCGGCGCUGUCUCCACCCGAGACUCAGUGAAAUUGAAAUCGCUGUGAAGAUGCAGCGUUCCCGUGGCAAGACGGAAAGACCCCGUGAACCUUUACUAUAGCUUUACACUGAACGUUGAGUUCGUCUGUGUAGGAUAGGUGGGAGGCUAUGAAACUGUGGCGCUAGCUGCAGUGGAGCCAUCCUUGAAAUACCACCCUGUCGUGCUUGACGUUCUAACCUAGGUCCGUUAUCCGGAUCAGGGACCGUGUAUGGUGGGUAGUUUGACUGGGGCGGUCUCCUCCUAAAGAGUAACGGAGGAGCACGAAGGUACGCUCAGCGCGGUCGGACAUCGCGCACUGUGUGCAAAGGCAUAAGCGUGCUUGACUGCAAGAUCGACGGAUCAAGCAGGUACGAAAGUAGGUCUUAGUGAUCCGGUGGUUCUGUAUGGAAGGGCCAUCGCUCAACGGAUAAAAGGUACUCCGGGGAUAACAGGCUGAUACCGCCCAAGAGUUCAUAUCGACGGCGGUGUUUGGCACCUCGAUGUCGGCUCAUCACAUCCUGGGGCUGUAGUCGGUCCCAAGGGUAUGGCUGUUCGCCAUUUAAAGUGGUACGCGAGCUGGGUUCAGAACGUCGUGAGACAGUUCGGUCCCUAUCUGCCAUGGGCGUUGGAAGUUUGAGAGGGGCUGCUCCUAGUACGAGAGGACCGGAGUGGACGAACCUCUGGUGUUCCGGUUGUCACGCCAGUGGCAUUGCCGGGUAGCUAUGUUCGGAAGCGAUAACCGCUGAAAGCAUCUAAGCGGGAAGCGCGCCUCAAGAUGAGACUUCCCGGGGCACAAGCCCCCUAAAGGAACCAUGUAGACUACGUGGUUGA